rnacentral:rRNA from 1 species
AUGGCAGAAUGCUUCAAUAAGGUGCUCAAGGGUGUACGUGCAUUACCCAUGAUGGCAAUAGUUCAAUACACAUUUGACAAGAUGAAUGGAUACUUUUUAAAGUACUCAAUGGAGACGGAUAAGUAGAUUGCUGGUGAGAACAAGGAUAAGCACAAGUACAAUUUCCCACCAAAGGUUGAAGAAUGGUUGGAAUUUCAAUCACGAAAGGCAGACUCCCAAGAAGUUGUACUAUAUGACGACAAUGAUUGGAAGUAUGAGGUGAAAGAGCCUGGAGGAACCACAAACGAUGGCCACCAACACGGAGGCCGGGCUUUCAAGGUCUCCCUAACACGGUGUGAUUGCAGCUGCAUGAGGCCAUCAUUGCUUCAUCUCCCAUGAUCGCACUUGUUAAAUGCAUCCCGUGUUAUGAAUGUGGACAUCAAUCACCCUCUUACCGUGAGGGAGUCCGAGUUCUCAAUCAUGACGGUAAAUAAUACAUGGGCACCAUGGUUUCAGCCAUACUUGGACCAAUCACAAUGGCCGGAGUAUCAUGGAGUUCAACUAUGGCCGAACUCGGAAUUGAAGGUCAUUAGACGGGGAAGACGUAAGACAAAGCGUCUUAGAGGUGACAUGGACAGAUGGGGCCGUGGUGGCGGUGGAGAAUACGGCACCGGCCAAUUCCAAGAGCCUCGUGAGCAAUCUUGUUGUGGGGACUGCAGUCAUGGGGUACACAACACAAGAACUUGUCCCAAACCAAGAAAGUGA